rnacentral:lncRNA from 1 species
GUGAAACGCCACAUGUUGCUGGUGACGAGUCCUCAUGGAUCCACAGGAGAAGAGUGACAGGCCGCAUUCCUCCACCAGACAACACUUUCUCUUGGAGACUCAGCCUCGGCUGAGUUAGACAGCAGACUUUAUGAGAGUCCCUCCUCUGGGGACUCACAGGCACCGGCAUGCCUUCCUCAGCCACACAUUUAUGAAGAUGAGUGUUUGAGAAAAUCCAUCAUGGCGCCAGUCAUCAGUUCGCUUGACAAGGCUAGCCCAGACUGGGAUCUAGAGAGACUCUUGGCUGAAUGAAUGGCUGUUUCUACAGCAGGAA